rnacentral:lncRNA from 1 species
UUUAUAAUAUUAUAAAAAAUCAGGAGAACUUUCCUUUGAUUCUUCAAGUCUCAGAAAAUCUGGGAUAAGGAAGUAAAGACUCCCUCGAUCUUAGACUUAAAUUUCUAUAUAAAAGAGUAAUCCAUAUUUUAUAGUUACGAGAGAUCCUUCGUUGAUAUAUAGAAUCACGGAAAAUCCAAGAUAAAAGAAGCAGAAGAAUUGCAAAUUGCUCUCCUCCCAGCUCGUGACACGCACGCAUUCGCAGCUCGUUAACGCGGAGAGCAGUCGCGGCUACCGUAUAAAGCUAGAACGGCAGCGGUACUCAGAUCAACGUUGUCGAUGAUGGAGGAUCUCGGUCGGAUAGAGUGAACGCCUUCGGCGCGGAGGUUGAAAAGUUCGAGCACUCGGUGUUAUGCGUGGAAGAAGCAUAAGAGAUUCAUCUGCAUAACAGUUAAUAAUUCCGGUACAUGGUGUGCCUUUACCGGUUACUACACGGUGUUCUCGCGCGCGUAUGCGCAUGCGCAUGUGCGCAUAACCAACCAGGUUUCUCUCAGACAAUCGUGUGCCACCUGUUUUAGUAGAGUGUCAGAAGCGAUCCUGUUACUUUAGACGUUAGAAAUAUGUCCUGCUGUUAAAGUAAUGAUACAGUCACCAUUUCGUUUGAUGGGAUAUAGAGAUGAACGCUUUCUGAAUAGUAGAUCAUUGAGAUGAAAUUAAUGAACUAGGAAUGAAAGAACUAGACCACUAAAUUUAUGCUCGGACCAUUGACGUCUAAACCUCUGGACCGAUAGAAAAAGGGUAAUCCAUAACGGCAAAAAAUUGAUUGAGGAAACCUUCAUCCUUUUCAAAUGAAGGAAAUGCUUGGAAUGAUUGAAGGAAGACGAAGUACAGCUUUGAUUGAAACCCCGGUGGCGAGAUCGAAUCUUCGUCUCGUUUAGAAUCAUACUGUGAACCAGAAAUGUUCGUCAAUUCCAUGAACGAUAAAAAGCUUGAAAGGGAACAGCAGCAAAAACUGUGAUGUGGCA